rnacentral:rRNA from 1 species
UACGGAGGGGACUAGCGUUGUUCGGAAUUACUGGGCGUAAAGCGCACGUAGGCGGAUUUGUUAGUCAGGGGUGAAAUCCCGAGGCUCAACCUCGGAACUGCCUUUGAUACUGCAAAUCUCGAGUCCGGAAGAGGUGAGUGGAAUUCCUAGUGUAGAGGGUGAAAUCGUAGAUAUUAGGAAGAACACCAGUGGCGAAGGCGGCUCACUGGUCCGGUACUGACGCUGAGG